rnacentral:rRNA from 1 species
CCUACGGGAGGCAGCAGUGAGGAAUAUUGGUCACUGGACGAGAGUCUGAACCAGCCAAGUAGCGUGAAGGAUGACUGCCCUAUGGGUUGUAAACUUCUUUUAUAUGGGAAUAAAAUGUUCCACGUGUGGGAUUUUGUAUGUACCAUAUGAAUAAGGCUCGGCUAACUCCGUGCCAGCAGCCGCGGUAAUACGGAGGAUCCGAGCGUUAUCCGGAUUUAUUGGGAUUAAAGGGAGCGUAGGUGGAUUGUUAAGUCAGUUGUGAAAGUUUGCGGCUCAACCGUAAAAUUGCAGUUGAAACUGGCAGUCUUGAGUACAGUAGAGGUGGGCGGAAUUCGUGGUGUAGCGGUGAAAUGCUUAGAUAUCACGAAGAACUCCGAUUGCGAAGGCAGUUCACUGGACUGCAACUGACACUGAGGCUCGAAAGUGUGGGUAUCAAACAGGAGUAGAUACCCUUGUAGUC